rnacentral:sRNA from 1 species
UGCGCCAGUAUGCAGACAUCUGCCUUUUCAACACAGCUCAGUACAAGUGCCCUGUUGCCAUGGAAGAGGCUGAUGACACUGUGGCACCCAGCUCGACGUUCUGCAAGGUCUACACACUGACCCCCUUCCUAGCCAAUAACCGAGAGAAGCGGGGCCUCGCCUUGGACGGGAAGCUCAAGCACGAAGACACGAACUUGGCCUCUAGCACCCUGUUGAGGGAAGGUGCCAACCGUGAGAUCCUGGGGAUCAUUGUUUCCUACAAAGUGAAAGUGAAGCUGGUGGUGUCUCGGGGCGGGUGAGUGCUCUAGCCAAGCCCAAGACCCUGGAGUGCAGAGGGGAGCGUCCCAGAUGCCCACAGGCCCCUCCCCCAUUCUGCCUGUUUGCAGCCCUUUUAGCUGCAUCCA